AGGGUUAUGAUGAUGGCUACGGGGGUGAAUAUGAUGACCAGACCUAUGAAGCUUAUGAUAACAGCUAUGCGACCCAAACACAAAGUGUGCCUGAAUACUAUGACUACGGUCAUGGAGUAAGUGAGGAUGCCUAUGACAGCUACGCACCAGAAGAAUGGGCCACAACCCGCUCUAGCUUGAAGGCACCACCACCGAGGUCAGCAAGAGGGGGAUACAGGGAACACCCCUAUGGUAGAUAUUGAAGGUCCUUCCCACCUGUGACCUCACCUUAAAGACAAUUCAUAGCCUGUGGUCUCCACAUAAACAGCAACAAGACAAGUAAUAGUCCUUUUUUUUUUGUUUGUUGUUUUCUAUUCUAGGGAUAACUGCUCAUGAUUACUCCCAUAUAUUUCUUGUAUUUCCCUCUAUACUGUUGGUGUGACAUUGACACUAGUAUUAUUUUACAAAACAGACUGAAAAAGACAUUGGCAAGCAUAGUCUAUAAACCUCUCAGUAGGAUGAUAUUCUCUUGGUUGUUUUUCAUUGUUGUGUGUAAUCUUUUUUUUUUUUUCCUUUUUUUUUUUUUUUUGAGACGGAGUCUCGCUCUGUCACCAGGCUGGAGUUCUCAACCAACUAGC